GGUCUGCAACUCGACCACACGAAGCUGGAAUCGCUAGUAAUCGCGAAUCAGCAUGUCGCGGUGAANACGUUCCCGGGUCUUGUACACACCGCCCGUCACACCAUGGGAGUCAGCAACGCCCGAAGUCAGUGACCUAACCGAAAGGAAGGAGCUGCCGAAGGCGGGGCAGGUAACUGGGGUGAAGUCGUAACAAGGUAGC
rnacentral:rRNA from 1 species